GUUCACUUCGGCAGAGCUGAGACUAAAAUUGGAACAAUACAGAGAAGAUUAGCCAGGUCCCUCACAAGCCUGACGCGCAGUACAUGAAGUAUUUUGUGAAGUGAUUUU